rnacentral:rRNA from 1 species
CAAUAGCGUAUAUUAAAGCUGUUGCGGUUAAAAAGCUCGUAGCUGGAUUUCUGUCAAGGACAACUGGUCCGCCCCUCGGGUGAGCACAUAGUUUGGUCUUGGCAUCUUGUUGGAAACUGUUGCUGCACUUGGUUGUGUGGCGCAGUGUCCAGCACUUUCACUUUGAGGAAAUUGGAGUGUUUCAAGCAGGCACAUGCCUUUGGACACAGUAGCAUGGAAUAAUUAGAUUGGGCUUUUGCUCCAACUUGUCGGUUUCUGGAGCUGAGGUGAGAAUUAAUGGGGAUUGUUGGGGGCAUCCGAAUUUAGCCGUCAGAGGUGAAAUUCUUGGAUCUGCUAAAGACGGACAACUGCGAAAGCGUUUGCCCAGGAUGUUUUCAUUGA